GACGGAGGGUGCUAGCGUUGUUCGGAAUCACUGGGCGUAAAGGGCGCGUAGGCGGCCUCAGGUGUCGGAUGUGAAAGCCCGGGGCUCAACCCCGGAGGUGCAUCCGAAACUCUGGGGCUGGAGGUCGGAAGAGGAGGGUGGAAUACCCAGUGUAGAGGUGAAAUUCGUAGAUAUUGGGUGGAACACCGGUGGCGAAAGCGGCUCUAUGGUCCGGACCUGACGCUGAGGCGCGAAAGCGUGGGGAGCAAACAGG
rnacentral:rRNA from 1 species